CACCAAUCAAGCACCGCUUGGUAUUAGGUCUUUCGCCCCCUGCUCCGGCGGGAGGCGGGCCUCAAACACUUCGGCGGGGCCUCAUCGGCUUUGGGCGUAGCAGAAUUAUCUAACACGUCCUCGGGUCUUUUGAGUCUCCUGCCGGCUUUAAACCGAAUCGGAACACCCCACCCAGUGGGAUUCCCCUUCACUUUUCAAA
rnacentral:misc_RNA from 1 species